UGGGGAAUAUUGCACAAUGGGGGAAACCCUGAUGCAGCGACGCCGCGUGAGUGAAGAAGUAUUUCGGUAUGUAAAGCUCUAUCAGCAGGGGAAGAAAAAAGACGGUACCUGACUAAGAAGCCCCGGCUAACUACGUGCC
rnacentral:rRNA from 1 species